rnacentral:rRNA from 1 species
GACGAACGCCGGCGGCGCGCCCACACACGCAAGUCCAGCCGAUUCUCUCCGGAGAAGAGCCGGCGGACGGGCGAGUCACGCGCGGGUCACCCGCCUCCGUACACACGGAUAACAUACCGAAAGGUAUCGCUAAUACGAGAUAACAUAAGAAAUUCGCACGUUUUUUCUAUCAAAGCUCCGGCGGUACAGGAUGGACCCGCGUCUGAUUAGCUAGUUUGGUGAGGUAAUGGCUCACCAAGGCGACGAUCCAGUAGCCGACCUGAGAGGGUGAUCGGCCACAUUGGAACUGAGACACGGUCCAAACUCCUACGGGAGGCAGCAGUGGGGAAUAUUGCACAAUGGGCGAAAGCCUGAUGCAGCAACGCCGCGUGAGCGAUGAAGGCCUUCGGGUCGUAAAGCUCUGUCCUCAAGGAAGAUAAUGACGGUACUUGAGGAGGAAGCCCCGGCUAACUACGUGCCAGCAGCCGCGGUAAUACGUAGGGGGCUAGCGUUAUCCGGAUUUACUGGGCGUAAAGGGUGCGUAGGCGGUCUUUUAAGUCAGGAGUGAAAGGCUACGGCUCAACCGUAGUAAGCUCUUGAAACUGGAGGACUUGAGUGCAGGAGAGGAGAGUGGAAUUCCUAGUGUAGCGGUGAAAUGCGUAGAUAUUAGGAGGAACACCAGUAGCGAAGGCGGCUCUCUGGACUGUAACUGACGCUGAGGCACGAAAGCGUGGGGAGCAAACAGGAUUAGAUACCCUGGUAGUCCACGCCGUAAACGAUGAGUACUAGCUGUCGGAGGUUACCCCCUUCGGUGGCGCAGCUAACGCAUUAAGUACUCCGCCUGGGGAGUACGCUCGCAAGAGUGAAACUCAAAAGAAUUGACGGGGACCCGCACAAGUAGCGGAGCAUGUGGUUUAAUUCGAAGCAACGCGAAGAACCUUACCUAAGCUUGACAUCCUUUUGACCGAUGCCUAAUCGCAUCUUUCCCUUCGGGGACAGAAGUGACAGGUGGUGCAUGGUUGUCGUCAGCUCGUGUCGUGAGAUGUUGGGUUAAGUCCCGCAACGAGCGCAACCCUUGCCUUUAGUUGCCAUCAUUAAGUUGGGCACUCUAGAGGGACUGCCAGGGAUAACCUGGAGGAAGGUGGGGAUGACGUCAAAUCAUCAUGCCCCUUAUGCUUAGGGCUACACACGUGCUACAAUGGGUGGUACAGAGGGCAGCGAAGUCGUGAGGCCAAGCUAAUCCCUUAAAGCCAUUCUCAGUUCGGAUUGUAGGCUGAAACUCGCCUACAUGAAGCUGGAGUUACUAGUAAUCGCAGAAUCAGAAUGCCGCGGUGAAUGCGUUCCCGGGUCU